AGAGACUUAGGAUAACAUAACAGACCAAGAGCCUUCAAAGCCCUCAGUGGAAGUGAAAAUCUUCCAGUCUCUG
rnacentral:tRNA from 1 species